CAGGAUUCAAGCCUCAAACCUGCUUCUUAUGCUCAUGGCACUCUGAAUGGACCAGCUGCUCACUGCGUCUGUGCCUCAGUUUCCUCAUUUAUCACUGGAGAGGACUGCAAGACUGGCCUCAUGGUUUGUUGUGAGGAUUAAAUAGGUUCACACACGGGGAGUACUUGGUGGGUCCCCAGCACACAGCAAGCUUUGGGUAGCUGAGGGCUAUUCAUGCUCGUGUUGCAUAUCAGCCCAGGAUUGGAGAACUGGCUGGGCCCUGUGGCCUCAUUGACUUGAGACAACUCCCACCCUUUGUAAAAGCCAGAGGACUAGGCACAAAGGAGACACCAACUGGAAAGGGGAGAGUUUAAAGGGCCUCCUUCAAACAAACAAACAAACAAACAAACAAACAAACAAAUGGCCUCCCUCUUUCCUGUCCCACCUGCCCCACCUCUAAUGCCUCCCCUGGCUUCAGAAAGAAGACACAGUGUCCCCAGGUGCUCUGGGCCAGGGCUGGGUGCCCGUGGGUCCUCACAAUAGGUGGAUGAAUGCAGGAUAAGGAUGGGUGUGUGUGUGUGUAUGUCAGGGUGUGCUGAAGGCCAUAGCCAAACUGUAUUUCCUUUCCAUUUGAUGAAAUGGAUAAAAAUAAUUCAAGCUUAAUUUUGUUUUAUUUCUUCAGGCUAGAAAAUGUAUUUUUGUCAACUUUCUUUUCAGAUGAUGGUAAAAUGCCCAACGGACCAGGAAGCUGCAAAGGGGGACACCCAAAUCCUACCCUGGAGAUGCUGUUGUCUGGCACGGGGGACAAGGUGCAGGUCCAACUACCAGCCUUCCAGAUUUCCCUCCUCAGGCCUCUCUGCUCUGAUGAGUCCUACCAGCCCUCCCAAGGAGAGAAGGACAACCUGCUAGGAAAAUGCAGGGGAGCAGGCACCCAAUGCCUGCAGCUCAUGGAAAAGCACCAAGUCUGGACCCGGGGUUCCAGCCCAGUUCUAUCUUGUUUUUCAUGGGCACCCUUGACCUAAUCCCUCUUUGGAUCUCACUCUGCUGUCAAACUGAAAUCAGCAAUCCCUGACACACACAUCCCAAGAAGCCAUUGUCAACAGUUAAAGAGAACAUGCUUAUGAGUGAAUUUUGAUGACUAAAGUGCUCUAUGAACACGAGGGCUCUGAUUACCUGUCUUCUGAGAUUUGUAAUUUAGACAAAUAGGCAUCAUGAUGUCUGUGGGCUGACAGCUCCAAAGCUCUCCUUUGAUUCCCUCCCUACCUUGCUCCCUGACACAGAUUCAACCAGUUGCAGCCUGCUGGUUCAAACUGUACUCUACAGAAGGACACUAUUGUCCAGAGUUGGCCAGGGUCUGAGCAAAGGUCACACAGCAAAUGGAGGCCAGCCUUCCUCUUCCCAGGGUAGUCGUUU
rnacentral:lncRNA from 12 species